rnacentral:rRNA from 1 species
GAUGAACGCUGGCGGCGUGCCUAAUACAUGCAAGUCGAACGAGGGUUGCAGCAAUGUAGCUCGAGUGGCGAACGGGUGAGUAACGCGUUGGUGACCUGCCCCGAAGCGGGGGAUAACAGCUCGAAAGGGCUGCUAAUACCCCAUGAGAUCGUCCGGGUUAGAGACCGGAUGAUGAAAGGAGCGAUCCACUUUGGGAGGGGCCUGCGUCCCAUCAGCUAGUUGGCAGGGUAACGGCCUACCAAGGCGACGACGGGUAGGGGGCCUGAGAGGGUGGCCCCCCACACUGGCACUGAAACACGGGCCAGACACCUACGGGUGGCAG